CAUCAUCCAGGCUCCUUCAGGUCGUUUGCCUUAGACUCACAUAUAUCAUAUGGCAUGCUCAUUUGUAUGCAGCGGGGCAGAUUUGUCAAGGGUCCUGCAGGAAAAAGGAGCUUAAAUCAUCCUGCGUUUGCAGGUCUUCCUUCUUUGAUCAUAACGGAGCUCAAUCCUUCCUAUCAAGAUUUAACUUUGGCUCUGAGUCAAUUCCUCAAGCAUUUCCUAGGGAAAUGUUGCCAUGUGAAGCAUGGACAGGAGUGUCGGCUAAGCCUCCGCAAACAGAAGGCAGCUGACAUAGUGCGUGGUUGUCCCUGCUCAAAGGACACCCUGGACUGGAGAGAGCUACUGAGAACACUGCUGAGUAAAAGUAUGAAAAAGUCAUCAGAAGAGGAGUGUGAUUAUUUUCUAAGCAUGAGGGAAAUAUAA
rnacentral:lncRNA from 1 species